GAUGAACGCUAGCGAUAGGCUUAACACAUGCCAGUCGAGGGGCAGCACAAGGUAGCUUGCUCUCUGGGUGGCGACCGGCGCACGGGUGCGUAACGCGUAUGCAACUUGCCCUAUACAGGAGGAUAACCCGUCGAAAGACGGACUAAUACUGCGUAUGCUCACAACUUGGCAUCAAGUGGUGAGGAAAGAAAUUCGGUAUAGGAUAGGCAUGCGUCCCAUUAGCUUGUUGGUGAGGUAACGGCUCACCAAGGCAACGAUGGGUGGGGGAACUGAGAGGUUUAUCCCCCACACUGGUACUGAGACACGGACCAGACUCCUACGGGAGGCAGCAGUGAGGAAUAUUGGUCAAUGGGCGCGAGCCUGAACCAGCCAAGUCGCGUGAAGGAUGACUGUCUUAUGGAUUGUAAACUUCUUUUAUACGGGAAUAACAAGAGUCACGUGUGACUCCCUGCAUGUACCGUAUGAAUAAGCAUCGGCUAACUCCGUG
rnacentral:rRNA from 1 species